UUGUUGAGAGUAAUGUGGAUGAGAGUGAUGAUGACUCAUCUGAUGACAUCCAUCCUGAGACUGGCAAGAGAGUGGCUGAAACUGUGUUAAAGACUUCUGCUUAUAAUAAGAAAGCAAAGAUUGCAACGCCAUCAGGUGGGCACAAAACAGGUGAGAAGAUGGGUGCUCAUCCUGCAAACAACUGACCAAAGAUGAAGCUCCCCAACUGCGUUGGGAGCAGCAAUGCUUGCAUGUGUGGUGCGACAAGCCAGGUGUUUGCUAUAUGGUUUUCCAUUGUUGCAUGGUAAAA